rnacentral:rRNA from 1 species
UACAGAGGUCUCAAGCGUUGUUCGGAAUUACUGGGCGUAAAGGGUGCGCAGGCCGCGCGGGCAGUCAAUUGUGUAAUUCAGGGGCUCAACCCCUGGACUGCGCUUGAUACUUCCGUGCUAGAGCUUUGGAGAGGAGUCUGGAAUUCUCGGUGUAGCAGUGAAAUGCGUGGAUAUCGAGAAGAACACUUAGGGCGAAGGCAAGACUCUGGACAAAUGCUGACGCUCAUGCGCGAAGGCUAGGGUAGCGAACGGG